CUAGAGAGAACCCUGCUUAAGGAACUCGCAAAAUGACACCGUAACUUCGGGAGAAGGUGUGCCCUCGUUACGUGAUCCGCAUACGCGGGGAGCGGAAGGGGGUUGCAGAGAAUCGGGGGUAGCGACUGUUUACCAAAAACACAGCACUCUGCGAAGUCGCAAGACGACGUAUAGGGUGUGAUGCCUGCCCGGUGCUGGAAGGUUAAAGAGAGGACUCAGCCGCAAGGCAAAGGUCCGAACUGAACCCCCAGUAAACGGCGGCCGUAACUAUAACGGUCCUAAGGUAGCGAAAUUCCUUGUCGGGUAAGUUCCGACCUGCACGAAUGGCAUAACGACUUCCCCACUGUCUCGAGCAGGGACUCAGCGAAGUAGCACUAGGGGUGAAGAUACCCUUUACCCACGGCAGGACGGAAAGACCCCGUGAACCUUCACUACAGUUUGACAUUGAUUGACGAAGUGAUUUGCGUAGGAUAGGUGGGAGGCUUUGAAGUCGGGAUUCCGGUCCUGAUGGAGCCAACGUUGAAAUACCACCCUGAUCGGUUUGGCAAUCUAACCUACACCCGUGAGCCGGGUGGGGGACACUGUCUGAUGGGUAGUUUGACUGGGGCGGUCGCCUCCCAAAAAGUAACGGAGGCGCGCGAAGUUCCCCUCAGCGUGAUUGGAAACCACGCGUCGAGUGUAAACACAUAAGGGGGAUUGACUGCGAGGCCGACGAGCCGAGCAGGUACGAAAGUAGGUGUUAGUGAUCCGGUGGCUCCACAUGGAAGGGCCAUCGCUCAACGGAUAAAAGAUACUCCGGGGAUAACAGGCUUAUCACGUCCAAGAGUUCACAUCGACGACGUGGUUUGGCACCUCGAUGUCGGCUCAUCGCAUCCUGGGGCUGAAAUCGGUCCCAAGGGUUUAGCUGUUCGCUAAUUAAAGCGGUACGCGAGCUGGGUUCAGAACGUCGUGAGACAGUUCGGUCCCUAUCCGUCGUGGGCGCAGGAUACUUGAGAGGAGCUGACUUUAGUACGAGAGGACCGAGUUGGACGGACCGCUAGUGUUCCGGUUGUGGCGCCAGCCGCAUCGCCGGGUAGCUAUGUCCGGAAGGGAUAACCGCUGAAAGCAUCUAAGCGGGAAGCCCCCCUCGAGAUUAGGUAUCCCAAAUGCCGUCAAGGCACCAGAAGACCCCGCGUAGACUACGCGGUUGAUAGGCGCGAUGUGGAAGUGCAGCAAUGCACGCAGCUAACGCGUACUAAUCGGUCGGGCGGCUUGACCAC
rnacentral:rRNA from 1 species